AUUGAACGCUGGCGGCAGGCCUAACACAUGCAAGUCGAGCGGAUGACGGGAGCUUGCUCCUGGAUUCAGCGGCGGACGGGUGAGUAAUGCCUAGGAAUCUGCCUGGUAGUGGGGGAUAACGUCCGGAAACGGGCGCUAAUACAGCAUACGUCCUGAGGGAGAAAGUGGGGGAUCUUCGGACCUCACGCUAUCAGAUGAGCCUAGGUCGGAUUAGCUAGUUGGUGGGGUAAAGGCCUACCAAGGCGACGAUCCGUAACUGGUCUGAGAGGAUGAUCAGUCACACGGGAACUGAGACACGGUCCAGACUCCUACGGGACGCAGCAGUGGGGAAUAUUGGACAAUGGGCGAAAGCCUGAUCCAGCCAUGCCGCGUGUGUGAAGAAGGUCUUCGGAUUGUAAAGCACUUUAAGUUGGGAGGAAGGGCAGUAAGUUAAUACCUUGCGGUUGUGACGGUACCAACAGAAUAAGCACCGGCUAACUUCGUG
rnacentral:rRNA from 1 species